rnacentral:tRNA from 1 species
GCCCUGCCGAUGGCUCAGUCAGUUAGAGGAUGAGACUCUUAAUCUCAGGGUCGUGGGUUCAAGCCUCACGUUGGGCA